rnacentral:rRNA from 1 species
UACGAAGGGUGCAAACGUUGCUCGGAAUUAUUGGGCGUAAAGCGCACGUAGGCGGCGCAGUAAGUCCCAUGUGAAAGCCCACGGCUUAACCGUGGAAGUGCAUGGGAAACUACUGUGCUUGAGUACUUAAGAGGAUCGCGGAAUUCCCGGUGUAGAGGUGAAAUUCGUAGAUAUCGGGAGGAACACCAGUGGCGAAGGCGGCGAUCUGGGAAGUUACUGACGCCGAGGUGCGAAAGCGUGGGGAGCGAACAGG